rnacentral:rRNA from 1 species
GGUUCGAUUAUGGCUCAGAUUGAACGCUGGCGGGAUGUUUACACAUGCAAGUCGAACGGCAGCAGCGGAUUGGUCUGGUGGGUGAGUGGCGAACGGGUGAGUAAUGUAUCGGAACGCCUAGUAGCGGGGAUAACUACGCGAAAGCGUAGCUAAUACCGCAUACGCCCUUCGGGGAAAGCGGGGGGACCUUCGGCCUCGCACUAUUAGAGCGGCCGAUAUCGGAUUAGCUAUUGGUGGGUGUCGGCUCACCAAGGCGACGAUCCGUAGCUGGUCGGAGAGGACGAGAACUACCACACUGGGACUGAGACACGGCCCAGACUCCUACGGAGGCAGCAGUGGGGAAUUUUGACAAUGGGGGAAACCUCGAUCCAGCCAUCCUGCGUGCGAUGAAGGCCUUCGGGUUGUAAAGCACUUUUGGCAGGAAGAAACGCACGGGAUAUCACUCCCGUGCAACUGACGGUACCUGCAGAAUAAAAACUCAUGACCACGUGCCAGCAGCCGCGUAAUACGUAGGGUGCAAGCGUUAAUCGGAAUUACUGGGCGUAAAAGCGUGCGCAGGCGGUUCGGAAAGAAAGAUGUGGAAUCCCAGAGCUUAACUUUGGAACUGCAUUUUUAACUACCGAGCUAGAGGUGUCAGAGGGAGGUGGAAUUCCGUGUAGCAGUGAAAUGUGGAAGAUAUGCGGAGGCUGAACACUCCGAUGGCGAAGGCGCAGCCUGAUAACACUGACGCUCAUGCACGAAAGCGUGGGGAGCAAACAGGAUUAGAUACCCCGUAGUCCACGCCCUAAACGAUGUCAACUAGCCGUUGGGGCCUUCGGGCCGCAGAAGCGCAGCUAACGCGAAGUUGACCGCCUGGGGAGUACGGUCGCAAGAUUAAACUCAAAAAGGAAUUGACGGGACCCCGCACAAGCGGUGGAUGACAUGUGGAGAUUAAUUCGGAUGCACCGCGAAAAACUCGUCCGCCCUUGACAUGUCUGGAAUCCCGAAGAGAUUUGGGAGUGCUCGCAGCAGAACCGUGAACACAAGGUAUGGCUGUCGUCAGCUCGUGUCGUGAGAUGUUGGGUUAAGUCCCGCAACGAGCGCAACCUUGUCAUUAGUUGCUACGAAAGGGCACUUAAUGAGACUGCCGGUGACAAACCCGAGGAAGGUGGGGAUGACGUCAAGUCCUCAUGGCCCUUAUGGGUAGGGGCUCACACGUCAUACAAUGUCGGGACAGAGGGUCGCCAACCCGCGAGGGGAGCCAAUCCCAGAAACCGAUCGUAGUCCGGAUCGCAGUUCGCAACUGACUGCGUAGUCGUGCCGGAAUCAGUAAUCGCGGGAUCAGCAUGUCGCGGUGAAUACGUUCCCGUGGGUCUUGUACACACCGCCCACACCCAUGGGAUGGAAGUCCACCAGAAAGUAGUUAGCCUAACCGUAAGGGAGGCGAUUACCACGCGCAGGAUUCAGACUGGGGUGGUCGUAACAAGGUAA